GUGCUGGUGCCGGAGUGGUUUAACGGGAUGGAUUGCAAAUCCAUUAGUCGCAGGUUCGAAUCCUGUCCAGCACU
rnacentral:tRNA from 1 species